GUGCUUGCUUCCACAGCACAUAUACCACACUUGGAAUAAUACACAGAAGAUUAGCAUGGCCCCUGAGGAAAGGUGACAUGCAAAUUCAUAAAGUGUUCCAUAGUUUC
rnacentral:snRNA from 1 species